GCUAACAACCAACACAAGGAUGUACUAUUGGGCUUUUGUUAUUACUAUUAUUAUAACCUGCUGGCAAUGUUGCAGGACUCAAGAAAGCCUGAAUCAGCCUUCAUCAGUAACAGUGUCUCUGGGACAAAAGGCUGAAAUCACCUGUACAGGCAGUGUCAGUGGUGCUGACUUAGCUUGGUACCAGCAGAAGCCUGGGAAAUCCCCUCGGUACCUCGGGUAUGACAGCAGCAGAGCCUCUGGAAUCCCUGAACGUUUCUCUCUGACCAAAGACACAACAGCUAAAAUCGCUAAAUUAACCAUUUCUGGUGUUCAGGCUGAGGACGAUGCCGAUUAUUACUGUUGUACGUAUUAUAGUGCAAGUGGUAGUGCUGUAUACACAGUGAGAGAGCAGCAAAGAGAACUCAAUCAAAAACCUUCUGCUUCACCGAUUCUGCUUCUACAGCUGCUGUCAAAAGCAUCUGAUUACUGA